UACAGAGGGUGCAAGCGUUAAUCGGAAUUACUGGGCGUAAAGCGCGCGUAGGUGGUUUGUUAAGUUGGAUGUGAAAUCCCCGGGCUCAACCUGGGAACUGCAUUCAAAACUGACAAGCUAGAGUAUGGUAGAGGGUGGUGGAAUUUCCUGUGUAGCGGUGAAAUGCGUAGAUAUAGGAAGGAACACCAGUGGCGAAGGCGACCACCUGGACUGAUACUGACGCUGAGGCGCGAAAGCUAGGGGAGCAAACGGG
rnacentral:rRNA from 1 species